GACCGAGAUGAACUGGUCGCGCUGCGGCUCGCCGCGCGCAGUCCAGUAGUAGCGGAUGAAGCGGAUCGUACUGUCGACGGCGUCGGAGCCGCCGAGCGUGAAAUAAAC
rnacentral:sRNA from 1 species